AACGUAGGAGACAAACGUUAUCCGGAGUUACUGGGCGUAAAGGGCGUGUAGGUGGUUUCGUAAGUCUGGCGUGAAAUUUUUCGGCUUAACCGGGAAAGGUCGUCGGAUACUGCAGAACUAGAGGACGGUAGAGGCGUGUGGAAUUCCGGGUGUAGUGGUGAAAUGCGUAGAGAUCCGGAGGAACACCAGUGGCGAAGGCGACACGCUGGGCCGUACCUGACACUGAUGCGCGAAAGCAUGGGGAGCAAACAGG
rnacentral:rRNA from 1 species